rfam:Silicibacter lacuscaerulensis ITI-1157 genomic scaffold scf_1113211289287, whole genome shotgun sequence.
UGCCCGUCACAACGGCUUCCUGGCGUGACGGGGAAAAUCUUAAUGGAGCG